UACGAAGGGGGCUAGCGUUGCUCGGAAUACUGGGCGUAAAGCGUGCGCAGGCGGUGAUGUAAGACAGGUGUGAAAUCCCCGGGCUUAACCUGGGAACUGCAUUUGUGACUGCAUCGCUGGAGUGCGGGCAGAGGGGGAUGGAAUUCCGCGUGUAGCAGUGAAAUGCGUAGAUAUGCGGAGGAACACCGAUGGCGAAGGCAAUCCCCUGGGCCUGCACUGACGCUCAUGCACGAAAGCGUGGGGAGCAAACAGG
rnacentral:rRNA from 1 species